rnacentral:lncRNA from 1 species
GGGACUAAAAGGCUUUUGCAUCCCUCCCGUUUCCAUGGGCUGAGCUGUAUCUGCUCUGGCCAUAGCAAUGGCAGAGUUGAGGGCAGCUGGAAUCUAGCCCAGUUUUUACCAACAAUUCAUUGUGUGACCUUGGGCAUCCUUUCCAGGCCUCCUUUCCUUCAUCUGUAAAGUGAGGGGUUUAGACUAGAUCAUCUCUCAAGUCUAGCUGUAACAUCUAAAUGACGGUGAAACCGUUUACCUCAGAUUGGGACUCAAACCCAUAUGGCUGGGACUUGAACUCAGCCAAAACCCUGCUUGGGGCUUGAAGCCAUGUGGCUGGGACUUGAACCGAGCCAAAACCCACAGUACCUGGUUUCAGGACCUAUUGAAGCUCAGGUUCUAGAUGUCUCAUCACAGAAAGAAUUCAGUGAGAGACAAAGUGAUAGAUCCCAGGUGCCUCUUUUCAGGCCCAGUGGAGCGCCGAGUCUCACCUCUCUGGGCCCCAGCGUGUGAUGCAAGAGGUCGGGGAGGCAUGCAGCCGCCUGCUCCAGCCUUUCGGGAGAAGAGCCUCCAGUCUCUGGUGUCUUUUAAGUGCCUUUCCCUUUUUUUCUUUAAGAUCAAACAAAUAAACCUGUUGUGUAUUCUUUUUAUACACAACACCUGAUGGCCACAAAAAAGAAGCGAAAAGGGUGUCUAAUAAGAGUCACCACCUAAAAAAGUCACUAGAAGCAUUUGGUGGAUAUGAUGUUUUCUGUCUUCCCCAGACACUGAGAAUUCAUCAGAGACAAGUCAGGCAGGGCCCCUGCGCUUUAAGAGCGCGCAUGUCAGUGGGAAAAAUGACACGUAACCUAUGUAACAUCUACUGAUGAGCAAGACAGCUCCCUCUCUCCUCUGCUUCCAUCUCUCCUGCCAUUGAUUUCUCCCCCAGAAGCCUUCCUUUGGUUUCACACAUCUACUCUGUGGCAGGAAGAGGCUUUUGUGUGUAACACGAGGUGCCGGACACACGCCUGGGGUGGGCUGUGUUCUGGGCGGGGAGAAGGCAGCCACCACCUUGUUGGAGGCAGGAUGCUCACGGCUCCUUGUCUCAAGGCUAUUUGUGCCCCACGCUGCCUGGGAUCAGAUGGCUGCACUGCAGGGCGUGGAAGGAAGGGCUUCUUGCAGAUGUGCCCUUGGGCCGAGUCACGUUGACAGCCAAGCUAGGGACCAAGACCCAGUUGGCUCCCAAGGU